GUGCUCCAGUGUUUACUCCACCGCCACCACCUCCCUGUCCAGGAUUUUGUGCCAUGUGUUUGGUGUUUGUGUAUUGACGGGUGGCGUAGGACUUUGUGUGAUAAAGGUGUGCGCCGGUUCGGUAGGGAGGUGGUGGUGGUGGUCAGUGCACUGACGGUGAUUUGUAUGCCGGGCACUUGGUACUGCCUGACGGCCAAUUAAGUGGUGAUACCUGGGUGGUGAUGGUCGUCGCCAAACUGCUGAAGCAAGCUGGUAACGGUCUGAUAUACCGGGACUAGGGCGAUUGGGCCGUAGGCCAAUGAAGUGAG